AUGGACCCUAGUGAGAUUUUGAAUGUCAGAUUUCAUUUUGGGGGCCAGUUCAUCCACAUUGGUCCUGUUUUGGAUUAUGUGGGGGGAGAUGAAGCACUUUCAUUGAUUGAGAGGGACAAGUUGUCAUUGUUUGAAGUUCAAGGGCAUUUGAAAGACCAUCUGGAGUUCAAGGAAUCGAUGAAGUUGUAUUUUCAUGUUCCUGGGAAAGAACUAGCUGAUAGUUUGAGGUUUUUGUUUGAUGACAGUGGUUGUGCUAGCAUGUCAGACUACAUUUGUGUUGGAGAUGUAGCUGAUAUUUAUGUGGAAUACCAUGGGGAGCAGGACAGUGAGAGUAGCAGCAGUGCUAGUGAUUAUGAGAAUGAGAUUGUUGAUGUUGAUAUGGAUGAUGAUGAAGCUGAGGAACCUGACAUGGUCAUUACUGCAGAACCAGAUGAUAAUGGUGUGCUCACUCAAAUGAACAACAUCCAAUUUGAGCAUCCUAGGGCAAGCAAAACCACAGUGGCAAAUGAGGUUGAUGAAGUGGCAGGAACUCAGUUGAUAUUUUCUCAAAUAUGCAGUCCAGAUGAAGUGCCAGAUGCAGUGCAUUUUUAG
rnacentral:rRNA from 1 species